rnacentral:lncRNA from 1 species
GAUAAUAUGUGAUUGAUGCAGUUACUGGUUUAAAGUCUCUAAUGACACUACGGACUAACACGCCUCCAAGUUGGGGACUCUGGAUCCUUGUGAAGAUGGUUGGGAUGGCAUUGGGUGUCACAACAUGCGUGUGGUCUCUUUAACAUUAUCGAGUAUGAAUUUGACUGGCGCACUCUCUGGGACAGUUAUCUGAACUACAAAUUUUGGAUCUAUCUUACAACAAGGGCCUGACAGGACUCCCAGCAGAAAUUGGCAGUUUGAAGAAGCUAUC